AAAUUAUAAUUCAAAUCAAUUUAAAACUUUUCUUUCAAAUGUUUUUUUUAAUAUUUAUAAAUAUUCUAAAACAUUUUUUUGUUAAAUAUUCUAAAUGUUUAAUAAACUUGAAAUAACUAUAAUAUUUACCUUUAAUAAAGUAUAAUAUUAAUAAUUACCUAAUAUUUUUCUAAUAACCGAUAGAGAUAUAUUAGAUAAUGAAAUGCUAGUUGUAACGCCCCGACCGCCCUUACCAGUUGGCCCCACGUUCUCUUUUGGGCCCAUGGGCUCACUUCUGUCCAAUGGUGGGGUGCGUAACGUGAGAGAGGCUUUAAAGACUUGUUACCAUCCCUACAAAUCACCACAUGAUCAUUCUCCAUGCUUUGUCCUCACACGCAUUGGUCCGACAAUCACUUCCCGGGAGGUCACCCAUCCUGAACUAUUCGAGCCCAAGCAUGCUUAACUGUGGCGUUCUCUCAGGAUGUUUGACCGAAAAGAUAAGUGCACUUUGAUGACAUAGGUGGCCAAACCAAUUCCUGAAACCGGGGUAUUACAAUUCACCGCAUUAACAGAUUGUUACGUGUUCGUUGUGCAGUAAGAACGUAACCCCCGAUGGUGCGAGCCUUCUUGACUCCACACUCAUUUAGGUUCGGCUCUGAUACCACUUCUAAUGCUCUGACCACCACUAUUUGUGGGCCCCACGUAAUCUCUGGGGCCAAUGGAUCCACCCCUAUCCGACGGUCGGUGCACCAUGCUUGGGAGGCUUUAAUUACUUGUUACUGACCCUACAAAUCACCAAAUGAGCUUUUCCCAUGCUUUGUUCUCACUCGCAUGGUUCCGACAAUCACUUCUCGGAAGGUCACCAAUCUUGAAACUAUUCCAGUCCAAGCAUGCUUAACUGUGGAAUUCUCUCAAGACCUUUGACCGAAAAGAUAAGUACAUUUUGGUGACAUAGGUGGCCAAAUAAAUUAUGUUAAAACCUCUCCGCAUGCACCACAAUAUUCCUGAAAUCGGGGUGUUACAAUUCAUCCCCACUAACAGAUCGCAAUGACCUCGUUGCGCACCAAGGCUAUACCCCGAUGGUGCGAGCCUUCUUGACUCUACACUCUUAUGGGUUUGGCUCAGAUACCACUUGUAACGUCCCGACUGCCCCUAUCAGUGGGCCCUACGUCCUCUCUCGGGCCAAUGGGCCCACCUCUGUCCAACAGUCAGUGCGUCACGUCCAGGAGGCUUUAAAGAUUAUUACCAUCUAUUCAAGUUAUCACAUUUUCUUUUCCCAUUCUUUGUCCUCACUCACAUGGUUCCGACAAUCACUUCUCCGAAGGUCACCCAUCCUGAAACUACUCAAACCCAAGCACACUUAACUGUGGAGUUCUCUCGGAGUGUUACACUAGUAAUUAGGAAUAUUAAUUAAUUGAUAAUAAUUAAUGCGAAUGACAUUCCUUGUAAACAAAAUCCAACUUGAGGAUUUAUUUUAUAAAAGUGUUGCAAAAAUGUAUAUAUAGACGAUUAGGUCUUUCUUGGUGGCUAAAGAAAAAUUAUUUGC
rnacentral:sRNA from 1 species